rnacentral:tRNA from 1 species
GGCGUGGUAGCUCAGUUGGUUAGAGCGUCGGAUUCAUAACCCGGAGGUCGGGAGUUCAAAUCUCCCCCACGCUACAA